rnacentral:rRNA from 1 species
GAUGAACGCUGGCGGCGUGCCUAAUACAUGCAAGUCGAGCGAACGGACGAGAAGCUUGCUUCUCUGAUGUUAGCGGCGGACGGGUGAGUAACACGUGGAUAACCUACCUAUAAGACUGGGAUAACUUCGGGAAACCGGAGCUAAUACCCGAUGAUAUUUUGAACCGCAUGGUUCAAAAGUGAAAGACGGUCUUGCUGUCACUUAUAGAUGGAUCCGCGCUGCAUUAGCUAGUUGGUAAGGUAACGGCUUACCAAGGCAACGAUGCAUAGCCGACCUGAGAGGGUGAUCGGCCACACUGGAACUGAGACACGGUCCAGACUCCUACGGGAGGCAGCAGUAGGGAAUCUUCCGCAAUGGGCGAAAGCCUGACGGAGCAACGCCGCGUGAGUGAUGAAGGUCUUCGGAUCGUAAAACUCUGUUAUUAGGGAAGAACAUAUGUGUAAGUAACUGUGCACAUCUUGACGGUACCUAAUCAGAAAGCCACGGCUAACUACGUG